UCAGUUCUUUCUCUGAGCUUUUCCAAGGCAAUUACAUGCUCUUCCUUAUGGAAGUCAUCUAGUGAAUCAUCAGCCUUGUCUCUGAAAAAGCAG